rnacentral:rRNA from 1 species
UACGGGAGGCAGCAGUAGGGAAUAUUGCACAAUGGGGGGAACCCUGAUGCAGCGACGCCGCGUGGGUGAAGAAGUAUUUCGGUAUGUAAAGCCCUAUCAGCAGGGACGAUAAUGACGGUACCUGAGUAAGAAGCCCCGGCUAACUACGUGCCAGCAGCCGCGGUAAU